rnacentral:sRNA from 1 species
GGCGGCGGCGGUGACAGGCCAGCGGCCUGAGACCGCGGCGGCCGAGGAGGCCUCGAGGCCGCAGUGGGCGCCGCCAGACCACUGCCAGGCUCAGGCGGCGGCCGGGCUGGGCGACGGCGAGGACGCACCGGUGCGUCCGCUGUGCAAGCCCCGCGGCAUCUGCUCGCGCGCCUACUUCCUGGUGCUGAUGGUGUUCGUGCACCUGUACCUGGGUAACGUGCUGGCGCUGCUGCUCUUCGUGCACUACAGCAACGGCGACGAAAGCAGCGAUCCCGGGCCCCAACACCGUGCCCAGGGCCCCGGGCCCGAGCCCACCUUAGGUCCCCUCACCCGGCUGGAGGGCAUCAAGGUGAGGACCUCCCUGCCCCGCCGCGCUCCAGGCCCUGCACGGCUGAGCCCGAGAGGACCGGCGCUCAGCCCGGGUCCCCACGCUGCCCCCGGCGCUGCUCUGCGUCGGUCCCGCGCGCUCCCACUCACUCGCCUGCUGUCGCGCUCCGGGCCGGGGCGACUUGGCCCUUCUUGGGCAGCGCGGUCUGGCGCCCCAGCUGUCCGCUGUGCGCCUUUUCCUUAGGUGGGGCACGAGCGUAAGGUCCAGCUGGUCACCGACAGGGAUCACUUCAUCCGAACCCUCAGCCUCAAGCCGCUGCUCUUCGGUAAGUCCGCCAGAUACUCCUGGGAAGGGCCAGGGGCUGCGGUUUGGUGGCCACCUUGAGGCUCGUUGUGACCACGUGACCUCUAUUUUGAAAAUGGCUGCUUCAAAGCAGCCCUUCCAGAGGAUUACCAAAGUGAAGGACCUUCCCGGUCCUCGAAAUAGGGUAACACUCCCUCUUAUCCCAACUCCCUGCAGUCCAUUCUUCCAUCACAGGGCUGGAAGGGUGAGCCUGAGGCUGGUGUCUAAACAUUUCAUUGCACCUGUCUUCCGUGCCACCAUUAAUUCUGUCACCCUCUAGAACUGGGAGGAAGGUGGGAGACUGAUAACCAGCUUUCUGCCGACCUCAGGACCUCUGGGGAAAAUCCCACUGCCGAAGUGGGCCUUGUGGUCUGAUGAGGAGCAGGCCGUCCAAAUGCAGAUAAACUGGUACCCCCCCAGCCUCCUCCACUGGAGUACCAGUCAGAGGCUCAGCUUUUGCUGCCAGCACUCUGAGAUUCUUCUUAAGGUGAAGUCUUUGUUCAGCCAUCAUGGGCAAAGCUUUCUAGGGUGACUCCAGUUGGAGCCACAACAUAGCUCAUCGUUUCUGAGCGCUAGUUAUGUGCUUGCCUUCAUAUGAUUAUUUCAUUUAAUUCCUGCAACCCCUCUGUGAAGUGGGUGUAGAUCCUACUCAGGCCAGUGAGGGGGAAAGUUAGGGACAGAGAGCUGCUGUGGCUUGGCCAGGCUGACAUGGUUACUUCAGUGGUGAAGCUAGGAUUAGAACCCACAUAGCCUGCCUCUAAGGCCUAUGCAGUAAAGCCACAGUGCGAGCUGUGAAGACCCCAGAGUCCUUCAAAGACCACCAGUGUCAACUGGGUGGGGACCCCUAGUCCCAUGGACAUCGUCCAGGGUGUUUGUGUAGCCCAGCCCUGGGUACCUGGCCUCUGUGACAAACAUAUUUGCAAACCCAGGGCCAUUCCUGCCUGCCGGGGGAUGGAAUGGGUUAGGAGCUGGGGCCAAAGUAGAACAUCUGAGCACAAGUCAUUACCUCCAAGGCAGAGGGUCCUGGUUGGGGAUUAUGCCUAGACCUGUCAGAAUGAUGUCAUAUGCAUGCUGUUUGUAGGGAAAUAGAUUAUGCUGUCAGUCCUGUUGUGGGAGAGGCACCCAAAGCUGGUUGUUGUUAUUAUUACUAUUACUAUUGAGUAACAUUGAAGUCUGUGCCAGGCACUAUUUUAGGUGCCAGGAACACAGCAUUGAACUAAAUAUAAACAAUGAAACAAAACCCUGAAGCUGACAUUCAAAUGAAGAGGAAACAGACAAUAAACAAACAAAUAAAUAUA